rnacentral:lncRNA from 1 species
GCAAGAAAGCCUUGGUCCAGAUACAACCCUUUCUGAGAGACAUCUCCUUCUUCCAGACUUAACAGGCCUGUUGGCAGGAUGGGGCAUUUGGAGGACAUUGGGAAAGGCAGUCCGGAGACCGGCUGGAAAUAACUGUUGGGUCUUUGCCACUGAAGCAGAAAGGGAAAGGUAGAGACACUUGCAGUCUCUGUUCCUCCCAUUUUUCUUCAUGUGAGGUCUUCAUCUUCCAGUGUUUGAAGCUUUGUGGUCUGAGCUGGAAAGAGUUCACUGAGGAUCAAAAAAAUGCCGAAGGUCAGAAACAUCCUGGGACACUGCUUCUGUCAAAUCUACAUCACUGGACUAUUUCUACCUCCUCACUAAAGAUGGUCAGAAAAGAAGCCAAAUACAAGUAUGAGAGUGAGUUCUAAAAACAAGAAGCAAAAUUAUAAGACAGGUAUGUACUUGUAUUUCUCAUUUAUAUAACAGUUAAGAAUCAAAACCAGGAGCGGGAUGGCCUUUCAUUAUUCUUCUCUUUUUUCUUGCUGCAUUAUACACAAAGAUGUAUAUCUGUGAGGGGAGUGAAACUAGUGUUUGAAAAAUCUUUGUACAAUGUAAGAUGGAGAAGCUCUGUUAGGCUCAUUUUAUUUCUGGUGUAAAUCUAUUGUAGUUACACAUAAGUCAUUGGAAUUGCAUGGCUGGAAGGAAAGGAUCUAAAUUCACUAUGAUACUUGGAGUCUAAAAAUAGGUUGGCUGAGAUUCUUUUAAAUAGAAAAGGAAGGUGAGGAGUGUUUUUAUUUGAAGAAAUAACUGAGCCAGAGUAAUUCAGCUGAUUAAGCUCAGUUCAUCUUACUUUUCAUACUUUGACCAGCACUGGAUCAUCAUAGGGAAAAACAGAUCCUUUCCAAGAGUUUCACUGAGAUGGACCAAGGUGGAAUCAGGGACUUGGACACCUGGAGAGACUGGAAUCUAGAUCUGAAUUUCAUUGCUCAGUUCUACAAGCUGAAUUGGCGGAUCCAAGCUUGAGAGCUAAGCUUGAGAUGUAGAUAUCUUCCACUUGCAUGGAAGAAGAACUUCCAGAAGUUGCUGUAGAUAAGAGCUGUGGUGUUUCAGCUCAUCACCGGUUUGUAAUGCCAUUGUAAGCAGGAAAUGGAGAUACAGACCAGACUUUUGUUAGAGUUUUAGCCAGUUCUGGAGUAUGCUUUUAAACUGAGUCUCCCUGCAGUUCAGUCAAAACUCUGCUCAAGUCCUCAAAUGUGAGAAUAAUCAUCCAAAGAGUUUACAGAGAAACUGUGAAGAAUUUUAGUGCAGAAAUUUCAAGUACAGCCGAAAGGACUAUUUUGCUUUUACUUGUUCAAUGAAAAGAUUCGCCUGUUCUGUUUUCAGACAAGAGAUACACAAAAAUCUCAGUUCUGUGGGCCCUGACUGUGU